AUACAAGUACCAUACAUACUCCUCUUUUUGUCAGAGUACCUCUUACUACUUAUGCGCUGGUAAGGUCUAUUUUCUUAAUUCCUUUUUUUUCCCCUAAAAAUGUAUUCAUACACCCUUGUUCGACAAUAUAUUGAUGGAUUAUUCAAUAUAUGUGAGGAAAUACAAAUCCAUGUAAAAGUGAUACCAAGGUGAUGGAAUGAAUUGUUGUCUUAGUGGAGGUUAGAAAUACAAGUCUGCUUUCAUCUAUGUUGAAAUCUCUGAAGAACCUUGAAAGUGUCUAGAUGGUUUACAAGCUACCUUUAAGGUGUUUCCUUUUCGUUUGUGUUUUCCCCUCUCUCUGCUGGUGCAAUGUUUGGUUCCUUGAGAGAUGAAAUAGUGUAGGAAAUAUUAAGCAAUUUGUCUCUCCUUUCAUGCUUUCCAAGUCAAAGAGUAAAGAUAGGAAGAACUGAAAGGUCAUCAUAAUAAAAAGACUAUCCUAGUGAAAAGGAAGAAGAACGAGCUGUACUUACUUCCCAUAUUGUUUGACUUCCUUUGAUUGUCUAUGAGACAAUUUUGUUGAAGGGAAAUACUAUGCACAUUUAAGAAAUGAAAGAAGUAAAAGUUGGAAUUGCUGUAGUGUAUUGGAAUCUUGACGGUCACAGUCAUGGACUUAUUCUCAAAGAAUAUUAUACGGAUUUUCUUACUCCAGGUAUAGAUAAACACUUUGAUGAGUCCUCACAGUAAACGAGGUUUGCAUUCAGCGAAGGAUUGGUAAGACUCCACCUCAUUCGGAGUGCAGCCGAGUCUAUGAGUCAUCAUGUUAGAGUUUUUCUAUAGACUUGUGGGUAGGCCGGUACCUUGUCCCAUUUGAUGUUGAAUAAUCCUAAAGGCUUUGUAGACAAACGUUCAUUUUGUACAAUAUGUCAGAGGCCUUGACGACCCAUAUGUAUUCAUGAUUUAAGAACGAUAGCUUAUCGAUA